rnacentral:rRNA from 1 species
UACGAAGGGGGCUAGCGUUGCUCGGAAUCACUGGGCGUAAAGCGCACGUAGGCGGCUUUUUAAGUCAGGGGUGAAAUCCUGGAGCUCAACUCCAGAACUGCCUUUGAUACUGGGAAGCUUGAGUCCGGAAGAGGUGAGUAGAACUCCGAGUGUAGAGGUGAAAUUCGUAGAUAUUCGGAAGAACACCAGUGGCGAAGGCGGCUCACUGGUCCGGUACUGACGCUGAGGUGCGAAAGCGUGGGGAGCAAACAGG